GUUAAUAGCAUUAUCUAUUUGACGUUAGCUGCAGAAGAAGCACCGGCUAACUCCGUGCCAGCAGCCGCGGUAAGUACGGAGGGUGCGAGUACGUUAAGUACGGUAAUUACGUGGGACGUAAAGCGCAUGCGAGGUUGGUUUAGUUAAGUCAGAUGUAGAAACGGCCCGGGGCUACAACCGUACGGUAAUUGCUAUUUAGAAACGUGGACAAACUAGAGUACUGUAGGAGGGGGUAGAAUUUCAGGUGUAGCGGUGAAAUGCGUAGAGAUCUGAAGGAAUACCGGUGGCGAAGGCGGCCCCCUGGACAGAUACUGACACUCAGAUGCGAAAGCGUGGGGAGCAAACAGGAUUAGAUACCCUGGUAG
rnacentral:rRNA from 1 species